GAGAACAGAGGAUCAGGAACAGAAACAUAGAGCUGGAGAACAGAGGAUCAGGAACAGAAACAUAGAGCUGGAGAACAGAGGAUCAGGAACAAAAACAUAGAGCUGGAGACCAGAGGAUAAGGAACAAAAACAUAGCUGGAGAACAGAGGAUCAGGAACAGAAAUAUAGAGCUGGAGAACAGAGGAUCAGGAACAGAAACAUAGAGCUGGAGAACAGAGGAUCAAGAACAGAAACAUAGAGCUGGAGAACAGAGGAUCAGGAACAAAAAAAGAGCUGGAGAACAGAGGAUCAGGAACAGAAACAGAGCUUGAGAACAGAGGAUCAGGAACAGAAACAUAGAGCUGGAGAACAGAGGAUCAGGAACAGAAACAUAGAGCUGGAGAACAGAGGAUCAGGAACAGAAACAUAGAGCUGGAGAACAGAUGAUCAGGAACAGAAACAUAGAGCUGGAGAACAGAGGAUCAGGAACAGAAACAUAGAGCUGGAGAACAGAGGAUCAGGAACAGAAACAUAGAGCUGGAGAACAGGGGAUCAGGAACAGAAACAUAGAGCUGGAGAACAGAGGAUCAGGAACAGAAACAUAGAGCUGGAGAACAGAGGAUCAGGAACAGGAAACAUAGAGCUGGAGAACAGAGGAUCAGGAACAUAGUGCUGGAGAACAGAGGAUCAGGAACAGGAAACAUAGAGCUGGAGAACAGAGGAUCAGGAACAUAGAGCUGGAGAACAGAGGAUCAGGAACAGGAAACAUAGAGCUGGAGAACAGAGGAUCAGGAACAGAAACAUAGAGCUGGAGAACAGAGGAUCAGGAACAGAAACAUAGAGCUGGAGAACAGAGGAUCAGGAACAGAAACAUAGAGCUGGAGAACAGAGGAUCAGAAACAUAGAGCUGGAGAACAGGGGAUCAGAAACAUAGAGCUGGAGAACAGAGGAUCAGGAACAGAAACAUAGAGCUGGAGAACAGGGGAUCAGGAACAGAAACAUAGAGCUGGAGAACAGAGGAUCAGGAACAGAAACAUAGAGCUGGAGAACAGAGGAUCAGGAACAGAAACAUAGAGCUGGAGAACAGAGGAUCAGGAACAGAAACAUAGAGCUGGAGAACAGGGGAUCAGGAACAGAAAUAUAGAGCUGGAGAACAGAGGAUCAGGAACAGAAAUAUAGAGCUGGAGAACAGGGGAUCAGGAACAUAGAGCUGGAGAACAGAGGAUCAGGAACAGAAACAUAGAGCUGGAGAACAGAGGAUCAGGAACAGAAACAUAGAGCUGGAGAACAGGGGAUCAGGAACAGAAACAUAGAGCUGGGGAACAGGGGAUCAGGAACAGAAACAUAGAGCUGGAGAACAGGGGAUCAGGAACAGAAACAUAGAGCUGGAGAACAGAGGAUCAGGAACAGAAACAUAGAGCUGGAGAACAGAGGAUCAGGAACAGAAACAUAGAGCUGGAGAACAGAGGAUCAGGAACAGAGACAUAGAGCUGGAGAACAGAGGAUCAGGAACAGAAACAUAGAGCUGGAGAACAGGGGAUCAGGAACAGAAACAUAGAGCUGGAGAACAGGGGAUCAGGAACAGAAACAUAGAGCUGGAGAACAGAGGAUCAGGAACAGAAACAGGAGAGAAGAGAUACAGGAAGCUGGAUCAGGGAUGCAGGAGAGCAGAGACAUACAGGAAGCGGGAUCAGGGAUGCAGGAGAGCAGAGACAUACAGGAAGCGGGAUCAGGGAUGCAGGAGAGCAGAGACAUACAGGAAGCUGGAACAGGGAUGCAGGAGAGCAGAGACAUACAGGAAGCGGGAUCAGGGAUGCAGGAGAGCAGAGACAUACAGGAAGCUGGAUCAGGGAUGCAGGAGAGCAGAGACAUACAGGAAGCUGGAUCAGGGAUGCAGGAGAGCAGCGACACUGUGUGUCUGAUAUGAAACCCUUUCCCUUAUCUAGUGCACUAUUUCUU
rnacentral:lncRNA from 1 species